CAAACACCACCCGCUUCCCCUCUGGUGUUUUCCUCUCACGGUUAACGCUCAUCCCGAUUCCUUUAGUCCAAAAUGUAACCGCCUUAUCGAUGUCCCUGACCUCCAAGACAGCGUGCUGGAUGAAGCCACCGCCACUCUU
rnacentral:ribozyme from 1 species